rnacentral:rRNA from 1 species
UAAUACGGGGGGGGCAAGCGUUGUUCGGAAUUACUGGGCGUAAAGGGCUCGCAGGCGGCCAGCUAAGUCGGAUGUGAAAUCCCCAGGCUUAACCUGGGAACUGCAUACGAUACUGGUUGGCUUGAAGCCGGGAGAGGGAUGCGGAAUUCCAGGUGUAGCGGUGAAAUGCGUAGAUAUCUGGAGGAACACCGGUGGCGAAGGCGGCAUCCUGGACCGGUCUUGACGCUGAGGAGCGAAAGCUAAGGGAGCGAACGGGAUUAGAUACCCCGGUAGUCUUAGCCCUAAACGAUGAAUGCUUGGUGUGGCGGGUAUUGAUCCCUGCCGUGCCGGAGCUAACGCAUUAAGCAUUCCGCCUGGGGAGUACGGUCGCAAGGCUG